rnacentral:tRNA from 1 species
GGAGCGGUAGUUCAGUUGGUUAGAAUGCCUGCCUGUCACGCAGGAGGUCGCGGGUUCGAGUCCCGUCCGUUCCGCCA